rnacentral:misc_RNA from 1 species
CGUGCUCGUGCAUCGAACUACUUACCACCUAUCCUUCUCAGUUACUUCACGGGCGUUUUUACGCUUUGAUGAUCGGAUUUGGGGUCUGUGUUGCGUACCUAACUAGAAGGUAUUGUCUAGUUCGAUUUCCACCGUUGUUCGCGGCAUCUCCUUUGCGGGGGAAGUCGUGAACACGAAAAUCGGCGCUUGUUUUCCUUUCGUCUUGGCAUUCGUUGCCUUGCUCGCUUUGGUGAAUAAGCUGUCGGUCGAAAUCUCGGAUGCGGAAAAGUUAUCGACGGUGACUCGAAGUAAUUCAGUCCCGCCAAAGCACAUCUGUCCCUAGGGCAAAAGAUGACGGUCAAGACCUCGCCCUUUCUCUCUUUCCUUAGUGUUUGCGGGAAUUGGGCGAGGAAUUGCCGUGAUCGAUGAAUGCUACC